GUUGGACGUUCAACCGACUGAGGCACCCUGGUGCCCCAUGAGCCAGACACAUUUCUGUCACCAUGGAUUCCUCCAACAUGAGUGAAAAAUUGGAAUGACAGUAUCGGAAGGUCUGGGGACAUCUGUCUGUCACAAAGGAAGCAUGGUAGCUGCCAACCCAUUGUUUAGAAGAAUCCAGAGAAUGGCUCCAGGUCAAGAGUGGAUGAGAAGGGCCAGUUACCUGUUUUUCCCGGGGAAACUUCAGAUGUAGCCCUCACAGAGAAUGGUCUAUACCCAUAAUAAUGGCCAAGACCCAAGACAGUGCUCCAUUCACAUGGCUGCAGGUGUCACCUAUGAAUCACAAGGACAGCCCCAAAUCCUGCAGCUCUCCCUUGCUCUGCAAAUGAAGGCGGCAGCAAUGAUCAAGACUGGAAUCUUCCCAAGGCUCACCUGUAUAUCCCCAAAUAGUCCAUGUGUAUCUACCACGUGUCGGGUCCCAUUCCGGGCACUGGAGACAGAGGAGUGAACAAGGAGCGGCUCACUGCUUGCACCGGGGCAAGGGGA